CGCACGUCAUAUGUAACCCCGCCUCCAAAACUCCAUUCUCUCUUUACGGGUUUUACUUUGAAGGUUGCGGGCGGAAGUGGCAUUGUCUAGGUCUCCCUGAGGAGAGCCAGAGAGAAAGAGCUGAGAACUGGUGGAGCAGACAGACAGGCGGACAGGCGGACAGACAGGCGGACUGCACGCAGCGGGGCGCGGGGACAGACCUCCAGGACGCGGCGCUGACAUGGGAGUCGAGAUCCAGACGAUCAGCCCGGGAGACGGAAGGACUUGCCCCAAAAGGACAGACGUGCGUGGUGCAUUAUGUCUGAGUUCAAAGCUCCCUGACGGACGGACGCACGUUUGAUUCUUCCCACGACCGAGACAAGCCGUUCAGGUUCAAGAUCGGCAAGCAGGAGGUGAUCCGCGGCUGGGAGAUGAGUGUUGGUCAACGGGCUCACCUCACCUGCGUACGGGAGCAAAGGUCACCCGGGCAUCAUCCCCCCCAACGCCACCCUCCUCUUCGACGUGGAGCUGCUGGCUCUGGAGUGAAGCCUCCCUCUGUGGCCUCCUCCCUUCCUACCUGGGGACAGAAGCCAGUCUAAUCCUCUACGAGGCCUGAGUCCAUCGCUCCACUCCUCAUGUCUUCACACUACGGACACUUUGUGUUGUUUUGCCUCCGUGACGGAGAGAAUUCUACGUUCCACAUGAUCCUCCAUCCCCAAGAACCUAGAACCAUGAACCUCUGACAUGAGCCUAGAACCUCUGACCAUGGGCCACGACCUCACGAACCUCCAUGUCUUUGAUCAUUUUUCCGUUUUCAUUUCCUCUGUUUUUAAAGUGUUGGGUCGUCGUGGUUACACGGAGAAGUACAAAACACCAAUGAAACCUCUGGCGCUGUGUGGCCGUGUCGUACUCCAGGACCGGGGAAAGAAAAGUACACAAAUAUAUCAAACACACAAAAAGCACACGUUGGGAGGGAGUUUCUGUUAGAGGGAGGCGGGGCUUAGCGUUGAGUGGGAGGGGAGGGGCAACGCAGGAACUCAGUUUAGCUCCACGGAGCAGCGGUUUGAGGAGCUAUAGGUGGGAGGAGCUAGAGAGGUUUGAGGAGACGCAGGAACUGAGUUUAGCUGCAUGGAGCGGCUGUAUGAGGAGCUAGAGAGGUGCAAUCGGCACAAAGAGCGAGCCCAUCGUGUGCGUGUGCGUGUGCGUGUGCGUGUGCGUGUGCCUCGCCCUGUCUGCAGGUUGAAGGUGAGAAUCCCUCGUCGUACGUUACGCGUCCAAAGCCUCUAGUUUGCAUCGUUCUCUCUUCUCGUCUUUAAAGCCUGACUCCGAUGGGGCGGGGCAGGAUUUGACGCACUAUAAUUCGAUUAUAUAUAUAUUUUUUCUGAGUAAAAAUCAAUAAAUGGGAAAUACUUGAAAUUGACCGACGGGGGUUUGAGGAAUCGACAUUGAGACAUUCAGGUUAAUUGAUCUCUAAAUUGCCCAUAGGUGUGAAUGUGAGAGUGAAUGGUUGUCUGUCUCUAUGUGAGCCUGAGAUGGACUGUGACCUGUCCAGGGUGUCCCUGCCUUCGCCCUGUCAGCUGGGAUCGGCUCCAGCGCCCCGUGACCCUAAUGAGGAUGAAGCGGUAUUGAUAAUGGAUGGACAUUGAGACCGCCCCCCGUUACUUUGUGCAACAACUUUAAUCAUGUAUGUAUCAGAUGCCAAGUAUUCUAUAGCUGAUGUAGAACAUGUGACGUUGGAUAUUGUGUGUUUCUGCCGCCUGGUGCUUUUGUAUCUCUGAUAGUUUUAAAUGGAGUUUACUGGAGGAUGUCCACCGUGGCCACACUGCUCCGUGUUAUUCACCGUCUGCAGACUUAACCAAUGACGACAUUUAAAAUAAAAUAGGUGCUCCACUA